AUUUCACUGUAUUAUUAUAUUUAUGCCAGAAAAUAAAUGUUCUCUCUUACUAGGCCUGUUUUUCACAGCAACUUGUUCCCUGAGGUCAAAUGUGUGGUGAGCAGAGGAGGCUCAGUGAGCAGCACAUGGAAUCAUGGAAUCACAGAGUAUUUGGGUUGGAAGGAACAUUAAAGAUUGUCUCAUUCCCACCCCCUACCAUGGGCAGGGACAUCUUCCAUCUCUACAUCCUCUGCCCACGAGCUGCACCACGAGCAAAUAUCUUCCUAAGGUGAAGCUGGUGGUGCUGCUGGCCAGGAUUUGAGAGGUAACAUGUUUUGUGCUGUACAGAAGCAGACAGCCAUUUUCUCACAAGCUCCUUGAGGUAAAAGUUUGUGAGAGCUGUCACAACACAUUCACAACACAUCGUGUUCCGGAGCUCGUUGCCGGCGGCACACGGAGAGAACCAGCCCUGCACCCAGGACCAACCCAUCAGAGCAAGCUGGGACUGUGUGGUCCAAGGCCACUGAGUUCCUGAGGCUUUGUGGAGGAGUUUGCAGCCCUGGAGCUGCAGGACGGGCUGUCCUGUACAACCCAUUCCAGCCGGGAAGUCUGGGCGGAAACCAUCCUGAGGACAAGGCUGGCUUGGUGUAGCCCAGUUUCCAGGGAGAACAAUCCCCAUCUUCCAAUCCAAACUGUGGGAAGGACGGUGGAAAAGGAGGAACUGGAGACCAAAGCUCUUUCUUUGUAGCUCUUUGGUUGAGAAGAAGAAAUGAAAAGCUCAGUCUGGAGUCUCUAAUUGUGAGUCAGUCGCCCACAGGCAGAGUGUUCCUGGUCCACUGCUGUUCGAGGGGACUGGAGUUUCCAGCCUGUUUCAAAUGUAGAACUUCUGGCAACAACUGCAGCCAGUGCACUGCAAACUCCUGCAGCAGAUGCAACAUCAAGCCACAGUGUAGGGAAGAGCUGGGGAAGCUGAAUCUUUCACAAGAAUCCUGCAAUUGGGGUAUUUUCCUUAAAACCCUGAGCUGAGCCUCCUCGAUGCAAAUGAACACAUUUGUGUGACUUCCUCCAUCCCAGGAGUUCUGACAUCGUCUCUCAGCUGCCCAGAAUUCCAACAGUCCCUUUUUGUUGGCUGUGGAUCUUCACCCCAUGUGCCAGCAAGGGCUGCUGUGGGGACAGGACGUCCAGCCCGUGGAUGUGGUGCUCUGGAAGAGCCACCAUUAAAUGUGCAGCACCUUCUGCUCUUCCCUAGUGGUUGGGAGCAGGGACAUGGUUGGAAGGAAAGAAGGAGGAGGAUGGAGAUCUGAGCAUUUCCACUUUCCAGGCAGGUACUUCCAAGGGGUAACGAGCCCUGCCCAGCCCUCCCAGCCCUGCCCUGUGCUCCAUCAGCUCACCUGACGCAAGGCAAGAUAGAGACUACUUUGCUUACCUCCUUAGCUGGGUGAGAUCAUUAGCUCCUGGAUAAGAUGGUUAUGCUGUAAUUUGUUGCUCCGUAUUCUACAUAUUUUAGACCAGUUGAUGACCUUUAAAAGGAAUUAAUUUUUUUUUAAUAUUUUUCAGUGCUUAGGUAUUUUAAUCUGUUCUUUACAUUUCCUUUU